CAUGCGUGUCAACGUCUCCAAGCCACGGAGGAGACGUGGCGUACGGCUCAGUAACACGUGGCCAACCCAACCUUGAGACGGGAACAACCCCGGGAAACUGGGGACAACUCCAGAUAGGCGAGGAACCCUGGAACCGGGUCCUCACCCAAAAGACACCCCAACCACGCACAAGGUGUCGCUCAAGGACGGAGCCGCGACCGAUCAGGUAGUUGGUAGGGCAAAGGCCUACCAAGCCAAUAACCGGUACGGGCCGUGAGAGCGGGAGCCCGGAGAUGGGAACUGAGACAAGGUCCCAGGCCCUACGGGGCGCAGCAGUUGCGAAAACUCCGCAAUGCACGAAAGUGUGACGGGGCUACCCCGAGUGCCGUCCGCUGAGGAUGGCUUUUCCACGCCGUAAGGAAGCGUGGGAAUAAGGAGAGGGCAAGUCUGGUGUCAGCCGCCGCGGUAAUACCAGCUCUCCGAGUGGUAGGGAUGAUUAUUGGGCUUAAAGCGUCCGUAGCCGGCCUAACAAGUCUCCCGUCAAAUCCAACGAUCCAAUCGCUGGACCGCGGGAGAUACUGUCAGGCUAGGAGGCGGAAGAGGCCGACGGUACUCUUGGGGUAAGGGUGAAAUCUUAUAAUCCCAGGAGGACCACCAGUGGCGAAGGCUGUCGGCUAGCACGCGCUCGACGGUGAGGGACGAAAGCCUGGGGAGCGAACCGGAUUAGAUACCCGGGUAGUCCAAGCUGUAAACUAUGCGGGCUAGGUGUUGGGGUGGCUACGGGCCACCUCAGUGCCGCAGGGAAGCCGUUAAGCCCGCCGCCUGGGGAGUACGGCCGCAAGGCUGAAACUUAAAGGAAUUGGCGGGGGAGCACCACAAGGCGUGAAGCUUGCGGUUCAAUUGGAGUCAACGCCGGAAACCUUACCGGGGGCGACAGCAGAAUGAUGGCCAGAUUGAUGGUCUUGCUUGACGAGCUGAGAGGAGGUGCAUGGCCGUCGCCAGUUCGUGCCGUGAGGUGUCCUGUCAAGUCAGGUAACGAUCGAGACCCACAUCCCUUGUUGCCUCUGAGGAGAGUCUCCAAAGGGCAAGACUAGGGAGACCGCCGCCGAUAAGGCGGAGGAAGGAGUGGGCCACGGCAGGUCAGUAUGCCCCGAAUCUCCCGGGCCACACGCGAGCUGCAAUGGCAGGGACAGUGGGUUCCGACUCCGAGAGGAGAAGGUAAUCCCGAAACCCUGUCGUAGUUGGGAUCGAGGGCUGAAACCCGCCCUCGUGAAUCGUGGAAUGCCU
rnacentral:rRNA from 1 species